ACCAGACUCCUACGGGAGGCAGCAGUGGGGGAUAUUGCACAAUGGGGGGAACCCUGAUGCAGCGACGCCGCGUGGGUGAAGAAGCGCCUCGGCGCGUAAAGCCCUGUCAGCAGGGAAGAAAAUGACGGUACCUGAAGAAGAAGCCCCGGCUAACUACGUGCCAGCAGCCGCGGUAAUACGUAGGGGGCAAGCGUUAUCCGGAUUUACUGGGUGUAAAGGGGGCGCAGACGGCGAUGCAAGCCAGGAGUGAAAGCCCGGGGCCCAACCCCGGGACUGCUCUUGGAACUGCGUGGCUGGAGUGCAGGAGGGGCAGGCGGAAUUCCUGGUGUAGCGGUGAAAUGCGUAGAUAUUAGGAGGAACACCAGUGGCGAAGGCGGCCUGCUGGACUGCAACUGACGUUGAGGCUCGAAGGCGUGGGGAGCAAACAGGAUUAGAUACCCGUGUAAU
rnacentral:rRNA from 1 species